GAGACCUGUGCUCAUAAUUGCCAGCGAGGGAAUCUCCUGAUCGGGCACAUUAUGAGAACUGCCUCGGAAACGAGGAGGAAGGCGCAGGCUACGGUAGGUCUGUAUGCUCCGAAUCUUCUGGGCAACACGCGCGCAACAAUGGUACGGACAAAGGGAUACAACUCCGAAAGGAGAAGUUAAACCUCAAAACCCUACCCAAGUACAGAUCGAGGGUUGUAACUCACCCUCGUGACGCUGGAAUCCCUAGUAAUCGGGUUUUAUCAUAGCCCGGUGAAUAU
rnacentral:rRNA from 1 species